GGAGGCAUGGCUCAGUGGAAGAGUGGCUGAUUAGCAACCAUAAGGCCCUGAGUUCAAAUGCCAGUACCACCA
rnacentral:tRNA from 1 species